rnacentral:lncRNA from 1 species
ACGCACUCACGAACCUUCGCAACGACGGAAACGACAAGCUAACACGCAAAACGAAGAAAAAGACUAAUAGAAACCAAAUAAACAGUACAUAUAAAGUAAACAAACAUGUAGAUCAUGAUUUUAGAUGAAUUUAGCAACUUGAACCACUCAAAACCGAGUUACGAUGAUUUAGUUAUGAAUUUCCGAAGAUUUAAUCUAUUAGAAAAACAGGAAAAAGAAAAACGAUGAUGACAUCAUGAUGACCUCAUCAAUGGCCGGACCAAGAUGGCGACCUCGCCGGAGAUUGGAUGGUCGGCUGCGACUUUGGAGGACAUGUACACGUAGAGGACGACGAGACGAACCCAACGGUACUCACCCUCGAACCAAACGACGAACGACGACGGCCGGCGACGAGGUCUAGCGGCGGCACGGCUUCGGUCGACGGCGGCGACGGGGCUCCGGUGACCGGCGACAGCGGGGAGAGAGCGGCCGGGCUUCUCCACCCUCCCGCGCACCUUACGGCGGUGACAGCGACCGGCGGCGACGACGGAGGCGACGGCACGACGCGGAUGGAGCUCGGCCGGCGACGACGUCGGGGUGGAGCACGUGGCGGCGGCGCUACGAGGCACGGGAGACCACGGGAGAGGGGGCAAACGAAAGAGGAGGACUAGGGGGUCCUAUUUAUAGCCUUGGAUUGAAGAGAUCGGACUCCUCCCGCAAG